rnacentral:rRNA from 1 species
CCUACGGGGAGCUGCAGUGAGGAAUAUUGGUCAAUGGACGCAAGUCUGAACCAGCCAUGCCGCGUGCAGGAAGACGGCUCGAUGAGUUGUAAACUGCUGUUGUAAGAGGGGAAACGCAGAUACGCGUAUCUGUCUGAAAGUAUCGUACGAAUAAGGAUCGGCUAACUCCGUGCCAGCAGCCGCGGUAAUACGGAGGAUUCAAGCGUUAUCCGGAUUUAUUGGGGUUAAAGGGGGCGUAGGCGGUCGGAUAAGUUAGAGGUGAACUCCCGCGGCUCAACGUCGGAAUUGCCUCUGAUACUGUUCGGCUAGAGCGUAGUUGCGGUCGGCGGAAUGUCUGGUGUCGCGGUG